AUUGAACGCUGGCGGUAUGCUUAAGACAUGCAAGUCGAACGGAAUCUUCGGAUUCAGUGGCGGACGGGUGAGUAACACGUGGGAAUCUACUGAGUAGUGGGGGACAGCCCGGCGAAAGCCGGAUUAAUACCGCAUACGCCCUACGGGGGAAAGGCGCAAGCCGCUAUUUAAUGAGCCCGCGUAAGAUUAGCUAGUUGGUGAGGUAAAGGCCCACCAAGGCAACGAUCUUUAGCUGGUCUGAGAGGAUGGCCAGCCACAUCGGGACUGAGACACGGCCCGGACUCCUACGGGAGGCAGCAGUCGGGAAUAUUGGACAAUGGGCGCAAGCCUGAUCCAGCAAUACCGCGUGUGUGAAGAAGGCCUGCGGGUUGUAA
rnacentral:rRNA from 1 species